CCGGUGAGCUGCAAUCGACCCAUGUCUUUUUAAAACGUCCUCGACCUGAUACUUCACCGUCCUUAUAAGUAAAACCUCUCGUAAAGAUACAGACAUGCGAGGGAAGACGCAAAUCCCAGGCUGAAUAAUGUCAGCAAGGAUGAACACAGCCAAUUUAAACAAAUGUGUUCGUCCUGGCACGGUGUGCUGCUGUAUGAUAGACCGAAUGGAUCAGGAGAGAAACUCCAGACUCAUCAGAAUCUACAGAACCAGACAUGAGCCUCUUCAUCCCUCAAUCAUCUCCUGAGGCUGAUAUGGAUCCAUCCAGAUCUGGUUGCCUGUUUUCUGGUUACCCAGCCAUGACGUCUUGGGUACCUUCCCCUAGAUGCCUGAAAGCCAAGUUUAAUCCUUUUCCGUAAAUUCACCUGCAAUUCAGAAGUUUCCGACCGGCCGUUCUACCUACACCCCGCCACCUUCAAAGAGGGCGUCCUGUCCGCCCUCCAACGCCACCUUCCGAUCCACCAGGCCUCACGUGGAGACGACUCAUUAGUUUGAACCCCUGAACCUACCAGUCCCCUCCAAGCCGUUUUGAACGCACAGAGCCAUGCUCUGAGAGCAGCCGAGCAGUUCCUGGACCAGCUUCACUUUCUGUUGCUUGACUUCUGUAAAUAAACUUUUCAUUUUUUAUAA